CAGUGAGAAGCAGAGAGAGCAGUCCAGACGGUGGGGAGGCAAAGAGCAAGACCAGAGAUUGGAAUGUGUCAGCUGACUCAGGACUGAGCAGAAGACAGAGGUAAGUCACUGCAAAGGGCUUUUAGAUCCCAGAAUGUUAAGCAAGCCCACUCAAGUUCCUGGAGAGGAUGGAAAUCCUGACCUACUCGAACACAGGGGAGCAUCUCUCAUGGCCACAGACCUCUUGGAAGAGAGGCUCAAGAUCUCUUUGCCUGGAGAGCAGAGCCACCAUCUUGGGAGGACGUUUGAUGCUUCUGUCCGGUUCCUGUGCCAUAAGCCCUUGCUGUAUACCUUCACGGCAUGGAUGGGAGCAAUGUCCCAAACUACUUUGUCAGUUGCAUGGAGGAUCGCCUCCCCCGUCACAAGGCUGUGGAGCUU